rnacentral:rRNA from 1 species
UAGCCUUGACAUUGAGAGAACCUGCCAGAGAUGGCGGGGUGCCCUUCGGGGAGCUCGAAAACAGGUGCUGCACGGCUGUCGUCAGCUCGUGUCGUGAGAUGUUGGGUUAAGUCCCGCAACGAGCGCAACCCUCGUCCUUAGUUGCUAGCAGUUCGGCUGAGCACUCUAAGGAGACUGCCUUCGUAAGGAGGAGGAAGGUGAGGACGACGUCAAGUCAUCAUGGCCCUUAUGGCUAGGGCUACACACGUGCUACAAUGGGGCGUACAGAGUGUUGCGAUACCGCGAGGUGGAGCUAAUCACUUAAAGCGUCUCUCAGUUCGGAUUGGAGUCUGCAACUCGACUCCAUGAAGCUGGAAUCACUAGUAAUCGUAGAUCAGCAAUGCUACGGUGAAUACGUUCCCGGGUCU